rnacentral:lncRNA from 1 species
UUAUGUUUGGGUAUUUUAUUUUAAUUAGUAAAAUUAGAAAAUGGAUAAUAUAUUUUUAUCAACCAAUCCAUAUAAAUUUUUGUUUUUGAAUUAAAAUUUAUUUAUUUUUGGACCAAUGUAUAAAGGACACUUGACUUUGAUUGGAGAUAUUUUCUUCUUUCCCUCUUCUAUUCACGUGUCCCCUUUUUCCAUUGGUUUAUUUUCUUCCUCUCUUUCUCUUUUUUCCUCUCUCUCUCUCUCUCUCUCUCUCUCUUUUCUUCUCCUUUUUUACUGCUACAUCCUUCACAACAUACACCACAAAAAAAUAUCUAAACAUAAAAUAUCUACUCUCUCUCUAUAUCAUCAAACCGCCCAACCUUUCUUUCUUUCAUGAACAUCUACAAUCUCACUCAUUUUCUUACUAACACAUAUUCUCUCUGUUAAAACUACAACAACAACUUCAUUUAAACCAACUAAAAAAAAACCCAUAACCAUCUUCAUCACCAUCAUCACUACUUU